AGUGGGGAAUAUUGCACAAUGGGCGCAAGCCUGAUGCAGCCAUGCCGCGUGUAUGAAGAAGGCCUUCGGGUUGUAAAGUACUUUCAGCAGUGAGGAAGGGGGUGUCGUUAAUAGCGGCAUUUCUUGACGUUAGCUGCAGAAGAAGCACCGGCUAACUCCGUGCCAGCAGCCGCGGUAAUACGGAGGGUGCGAGCGUUAAUCGGAAUUACUGGGCGUAAAGCGCAUGCAGGUGGUUUGUUAAGUCAGAUGUGAAAGCCCGGGGCUCAACCUCGGAACUGCAUUUGAAACUGGCAAACUAGAGUACUGUAGAGGGGGGUAGAAUUUCAGGUGUAGCGGUGAAAUGCGUAGAGAUCUGAAGGAAUACCAGUGGCGAAGGCGGCCCCCUGGACAGAUACUGACACUCAGAUGCGAAAGCGUGGGGAGCAAA
rnacentral:rRNA from 1 species